AAUGAACGCUGGCGGCGUGCUUAACACACGCAAGUCGCGCGCGAAGGAGGCUUCGGCCUCUGGAGAGCGGCGAACGGGUGAGUAACACGUGGGUAAUCUGCCUGGGAGCGGGGGAUAACCUGGGGAAACUCGGGCUAAUACCGCAUACGUUGACAGGGUUAUGGUCCUGUCAGGAAAGCUGGCCUCUGCUUGCAAGCUAGCGCUCCCAGAGGAGCCCGCGGCUGAUUAGCUAGUUGGUGAGGUAAUGGCUCACCAAGGCUUCGAUCAGUAGCCGGCCUGAGAGGGUGAUCGGCCACACUGGGACUGAGACACGGCCCAGACCCCUACGGGAGGCAGCAGUGGGAAUAUUGGACAAUGGGCGCAAGCCUGAUCCAGCAACGCCGCGUGGAGGAUGAAGGUCUUCGGAUCGUAAACUCCUGUCAGACGGGACGAAGGUAGCGGGGUGAACAAUCCUGCU
rnacentral:rRNA from 1 species